CCUACGGGAGGCAGCAGUCGAGAAUCAUUCACAAUGGGGGAAACCCUGAUGGUGCGACGCCGCGUGGGGGAAUGAAGGUCUUCGGAUUGUAAACCCCUGUCAUGUGGGAGCAAAUUAAAAAGAUAGUACCACAAUAUGAAGAGACGGCUAACUCUGUGCCAGCAGCCGCGGUACUACAGAGGUCUCAAGCGUUGUUCGGAAUCACUGGGCGUAAAGCGUGCGUAGGCUGUUUCGUAAGGCGUGUGUGAAAGGCGCGGGCUCAACCCGCGGAUGGCACAUGAUACUGGGAGACUAGAGUAAUGGAGGGGGAACCGGAAUUCGCGGUGUAGCAGUGAAAUGCGUAGAUAUCGAGAGGAACACUCGUGGCGAAGGCGGGUUCCUGGACAUUAACUGACGCUGAGGCACGAAGGCCAGGGGAGCGAAAGGGAUUAGAUACCCCAGUAGUC
rnacentral:rRNA from 1 species